rnacentral:rRNA from 1 species
CAGCAGCAGCCGCGGAAUACAGAGGGUGCGAGCGUUAAUCGGAUUUACUGGGCGUAAAGCGUGCGUAGGCGGCUUCUUAAGUCGGAUGUGAAAUCCCUGAGCUUAACUUAGGAAUUGCAUUCGAUACUGGGAAGCUAGAGUAUGGGAGAGGAUGGUAGAAUUCCAGGUGUAGCGGUGAAAUGCGUAGAGAUCUGGAGGAAUACCGAUGGCGAAGGCAGCCAUCUGGCCUAAUACUGACGCUGAGGUACGAAAGCAUGGGGAGCAAACAGGAUUAGAUACCCCCGUAGUCCCUGUCUCUUAUACC